rnacentral:rRNA from 1 species
AUUGAACGCUGGCGGCAUGCCUUACACAUGCAAGUCGAACGGUAACAGGUCUUCGGAUGCUGACGAGUGGCGAACGGGUGAGUAAUACAUCGGAACGUGCCUAGUAGUGGGGGAUAACUACUCGAAAGAGUGGCUAAUACCGCAUGAGAUCUACGGAUGAAAGUAGGGGAUCGCAAGACCUUGUGCUACUAGAGCGGCCGAUGGCAGAUUAGGUAGUUGGUAGGAUAAAAGAUUAACAAGCCGACGAUCUGUAGCUGGUCUGAGAGGACGAUCAGCCACACUGGGACUGAGACACGGCCCAGACUCCUACGGGAGGCAGCAGUGGGGAAUUUUGGACAAUGGGCGAAAGCCUGAUCCAGCAAUGCCGCGUGCAGGAUGAAGGCCUUCGGGUUGUAAACUGCUUUUGUACGGAACGAAAAGCCCCGGGUUAAUACCCUGGGGUCAUGACGGUACCGUAAGAAUAAGCACCGGCUAACUACGUGCCAGCCGCCGCAGUAA